rnacentral:tRNA from 1 species
AGCCUCGUAGCGCAGCUGGUAGAGAGUGCGCGGCGUAAGCGGGGUCCAUGCGUGGGUUCGAAUCCCACCGAGAUUU